AGGAGUGACAGAGUUAGACUCUUUUUUUUUUUUUCGAGACAGAGUCUCGCUCUGUCAGUCAGGC
rnacentral:pre_miRNA from 1 species